rnacentral:misc_RNA from 1 species
AACGCACGAGACCUGCGGACCUGCGGAGGGAUCAUUACCGAGUUAUCCAACUCCCAACCCCCGUGAAUUAUACCUUUAAUUGUUGCUUCGGCGGGACUUCGCGCCCGCCGGGGACCCAAACCUUCUGAAUUUUUUAAUAAGUAUCUUCUGAGUGGUUAAAAAAAUGAAUCAAAACUUUUAACAACGGAUCUCU